rnacentral:lncRNA from 1 species
UGCAGGAUCAGGCCCCCUCCGGGCUCCUUCUCAGCCAAGGAAUGUAUCCUUCCCUUCUCCUCCAUAUAUCUUACCUGUGAUGUAUGCUACUUUUCGAGGAGGGAAUAAUAUGCCAUUUACCACAAAGCACAGCUUCAAAGCCUUUGUGUGUUUUGUAUCCCCAGCCAAAGCUUAUUAUUUACCACCUUAAAAAUGUAACCAGGUAAGGGAUAGUAGCCGUUAUUGUCUUCAUCUUUACACCCUCAUUUUCAUGCAGCAAACAUCCCAUAUUAGGGCCAGAUUCUCACUCAGAUGGAAGUUAUUAACUUUAAGCAGAACGGAGCCGAUUUCAGCCAGCCGAAGCCCGUGCCCUCCUAACACAGGCUCUUUAAAACAUCUCCUUGUUCGUUUUUUUUUUUUUUUUUUCCUUUGGAGGGCAUGAGUCUUUAAACAUGGUUGCUUUACAGAGAGCGGUGGUUGAUUUCUAACUUUUUUCCCCAACAAACACGGAAAGAGAAUAUUAACAGGGAAUAUUAAUAGAGCUGAGUGCGGCGCGGUGCUAGUUAGCUUGUAGUAGCCGAGAAAUAUGAACUAGUGAACAUAAUCCAUAAACUCCAUUUGGUUACUAUAAUACUCCAAUCUGUAUUUAUUACAACCCCACUCUGAUGCUUAUACAACUGCAAUUGCUAGAUUUAUACACUCUAAUGGUUUCACAAUAGGAAAAACCUGUGUUCUUUAUCUUUCUUUUCCUGUCCAAAAUAACCCCUUCCACAUAUACUUCAGGCUUCUCUGGACCUUGUCUGGGUUUAAUCACAGGCUGUGGGACAAAAUGUGCAUUAUUAAGAAAUAUAAAUAUUUUCAGAAGCAAUCAAAGGGUUGAAAGAUUGAUUCGGCGUGUAGAUUGGAUUUAAUUCGAAGCAGCUUUGUUCUAAUGAGGACUACUGGGAUACAAAGACAGCAGCCGCUUAUGGCCACCAGUUGGGAGCUUGGAUUCACUGCAGUAACCUGUCAAGAAUUUCACCCAACUGCCAGGGCCAAACCCUGCAGUCUGAAGCUCCUACUGACUUCGGUGGCUGCUUUGCCCAAGGGAAAGGUGGCAAAGCUUGGUUCAGCAGCAAGUGCAGCAAACCCCAGAGCUCCACAGCAGUUUGCCCUGGUGAAGCUGCUUUUGCGGGAGGUGCUUUUGUUUUUCCCUGCAAAAGUGAAACGCAGCUCACUGUUGGCUUGGAAGCUCGUGUCCUUGAUGGGUGACCCAGCAGAACUGCCGUGCUCGUCCUUCAUCCCAGGGAAAAGCCCGCAAUGUCCAACAAAACAUCCUUGGAGAGGGAGCUGA